rnacentral:lncRNA from 1 species
UGAUUUAAAAAAAAAUAAAAACAACAAAUGGUUAUUUUCAAAUAAUGAAUGUAAUUUACAUUAUACUAUCAUUUAACAAGUAUUAGAUACGUUUUGAUAUAUCAUUAUUUUCUAUUUCCAGAAAACAAUAAAUUGUUAAACAUCAAUAUCAUCUAGGUUAAGUAUACGAACAUCACAAAUUCAAACAUCACAAAAAAUAUUUACAUAAACAAUAUUCAAAAGAAUAGUUAUAUACUUAAUAUUUGAAAAUCAAAGAUAUUUUUGCUAAAAUUGUACUUACAUGGCCAAGGAGAUCGACCAUCUUUUUACGGAUCAAUCGAUUAUUGAGCAUGUGGUCGAUCCAAAAAUAUUCUACAGUUUAAUUAAAUAUCUAAAACAUUUAUUCCAACACUCAACAUAUAGUUUUGCUAAAUAUGAUAAAUAGAUAGCCAACAAAAUUACAAAAACAUAUUUAAAUAGUAAAAAAUAUGUUAAUUUAACGUGUUAAAGUUUAAAAACAAAUUUUAAUUAUGACAUGUAUCUUAACAUUUAUAUAAAUAUAUAUCAUAACCUAAAUAUAAAUGAUU